rnacentral:rRNA from 1 species
AUUGAACGCUGGCGGCAGGCUUAACACAUGCAAGUCGAGCGGGGGAGGUUGCUUCGGUAACUGACCUAGCGGCGGACGGGUGAGUAAUGCUUAGGAAUCUGCCUAUUAGUGGGGGACAACAUUCCGAAAGGAAUGCUAAUACCGCAUACGUCCUACGGGGGAAAGCAGGGGAUCUUCGGACCUUGCGCUAAUAGAUGAGCCUAAGUCGGAUUAGCUAGUUGGUGGGGUAAAGGCCUACCAAGGCGACGAUCUGUAGCGGGUCUGAGAGGAUGAUCCGCCACACUGGGACUGAGACACGGCCCAGACUCCUACGGGAGGCAGCAGUGGGGAAUAUUGGACAAUGGGCGCAAGCCUGAUCUAGCCAUGCCGCGUGUGUGAAGAAGGCCUUUUGGUUGUAAAGCACUUUAAGCGAGGAGGAGGCUCCUUUAGUUAAUACCUAAAGUGAGUGGACGUUACUCGCAGAAUAAGCACCGGCUAACUCUGUGCCAGCCGCCGCCGUAAAAC